rnacentral:rRNA from 1 species
UACGUAGGAGGCAAGCGUUGUCCGGAAUUACUGGGCGUAAAGAGCUCGUAGGCGGUCUGUCGCGUCUGCUGUGAAAACUCAGGGCUUAACCCUGAGCUUGCAGUGGGUACGGGCAGACUAGAGUGCGGUAGGGGAGACUGGAAUUCCUGGUGUAGCGGUGAAAUGCGCAGAUAUCAGGAGGAACACCGGUGGCGAAGGCGGGUCUCUGGGCCGUAACUGACGCUGAGGAGCGAAAGCAUGGGGAGCGAACAGG